GAUCCUGGCUCAAGACGAACGCUGGCGGCGCGCCUAACACAUGCAAGUCGAACGAGCGAGAGAGAGCUUGCUUUCUCGAGCGAGUGGCGAACGGGUGAGUAACGCGUGAGGAACCUGCCUCAAAGAGGGGGACAACAGUUGGAAACGACUGCUAAUACCGCAUAAGCCCACGACCCGGCAUCGGGUAGAGGGAAAAGGAGAAAUCCGCUUUGAGAUGGCCUCGCGUCCGAUUAGCUAGUUGGUGAGG
rnacentral:rRNA from 1 species